AUUCGUCUUCUCGUUAAUAAUUAAUGUUGGCGCUUCAGGAUGUAGCAGAAAGUCUCGAAGUCGUAUCUUUUAUUAUUUAAAAGAUUAGCCUGGCUUUAGCUUGAACUCUUGUUUCUUCUUGUUUUUCGCUUUUAGCGCCCUGGAGAAAAAUAGAAGUAAUUCUAAAGUAUCAGAACAGGUCUUCCCUAGAUGUUGCGUUUAGCAUAAAUUGCGCGACCCGAUGGAAAAUCCCCAAUCAUUCUUCUCAACCAACAUGCUCCACCAACUCUAGUCAACCCACUGAUGCAAGAUGAAACUGCUGCUACAGCGUCAUAGAUGUUGUUCUUUCAAGCGUUUAGCGAUAAAAGAAAUUCUUACUUUUUGUGUUCUUUAUCGUUUGCUGGUAGGGAAAGGAACAAAACCCUGGGGGCAGUGACCUUGUUUCUCCUUUCUGCUAUGAUAAUGGAGGAAACAUCAGCGAAAGUUUUAUGAGAACCAAGUCUAGAUUAUUCAGAAACAUUUUAUCCUUGGAGGCAAAUGAUACGUGCAUUGGCGCAAGUAUAAUAUGACACUUUCAAGUUUCUAUCUUAAGCGGAGUCCCAAACGAUUAUGACUAGAAGCACGCAGAAUGGAAGAACAAAGUGCACUUGUUAUAUUUCAGUGAUUGGAAUUUUCUAAAUAACAAGGAAAGGAUUCUGAGUUUCGGAUGAAAGGAAAUAUUGAGAUAUAUUGUUUUUGUGCUGUGAUGAUGAUGUGGAAAAUAAAGAUAGUUCAUGAAA